rnacentral:rRNA from 1 species
UACGGGGGGGGCAAGCGUUGUUCGGAAUUACUGGGCGUAAAGGGCUCGUAGGCGGCCAACUAAGUCGGAUGUGAAAUCCCCAGGCUUAACCUGGGAACUGCAUCCGAUACUGGAUGGCUUGAAUUCGGGAGAGGGAUGCAGAAUUCCUGGUGUAGCGGUGAAAUGCGCAGAUAUCAGGAGGAACACCUAUGGCGAAGGCAGCUCGCUGGGACGGUACUGACGCUGAGGCGCGAAAGCGUGGGGAGCAAACAGG